rnacentral:rRNA from 1 species
AUUGAACGCUGGCGGCAGGCCUAACACAUGCAAGUCGAGCGGAUGACGGGAGCUUGCUCCUUGAUUCAGCGGCGGACGGGUGAGUAAUGCCUAGGAAUCUGCCUGGUAGUGGGGGACAACGUCUCGAAAGGAACGCUAAUACCGCAUACGUCCUACGGGAGAAAGCUGGGGACCUUCGGGCCGUGCGCUAUCAGAUGAGCCUAGGUCGGAUUAGCUAGUUGGUGGGGUAAUGGCUCACCAAGGCGACGAUCCGUAACUGGUCUGAGAGGAUGAUCAGUCACACUGGAACUGAGACACGGUCCAGACUCCUACGGGAGGCAGCAGUGGGGAAUAUUGGACAAUGGGCGAAAGCCUGAUCCAGCCAUGCCGCGUGUGAAGAAGGUCUUCGGAUUGUAAAGCACUUUAAGUUGGGAGGAAGGGCAGUAAGUUAAUACCUUGCUGUUUUGACGUUACCGACAGAAUAAGCACCGGCUAACUCUGUGCCAGCCGCCGCUGUAACAC